GAAAGAUGACAGCAUCAAGUUUUGUAUCUAUGGCUGAAAAGAUUAUUAAGCCUCAUUCUCCUACCCCUUUUUCAGUUAAGCGUUACAAUCUUUGUCUAAUGGAUGAAAUCAUGGUUCCAGUCUACAUGCCAAUUGUAGCCUUUUAUCCUAACCCCUCUAAAACACCAGAACAAGUAUCCAACAUACUUGAAGAUUCACUAUCCAAAGUUUUAUCCUCUUACUAUCCAUUUGCUGGAACACUCGGAUCAGAUAACGCUACUUUUGUCGAUUGCAAUGACAGGGGAGCUAAAUCUAUACAGGUUCGAUACGAUUGUCCAAUGUCUGAAAUAGUCAAUCUUCCGGAUACUGGCCCUGAAUAUCUACCUUUUGCUAAAGGUACGCCUUGGAGUUCAACUCCAGAGGAACAAAGUUUACUAGUUGUUCAAUUAAGCCAUUUUAAUUGCGGAGGAUUAGGUAUAAGUGCUAGGCUAUCCCAUAAAAUUGCUGAUGGAUGCACGCUCGCCAAUUUCAUUAGUGAUUGGGCUUCCGUAGCUCGUGAUGACAACGCGAAUAUACCUUCCCCUCAAUUGAUUGGAUCGUCCAUUUUUCCGCCAUUCACUGAAAUGCGCAUUCACACGGAUACUAACGUUGAUUAUGAGUUUUACAAUCUACCCGUUUGUAAAAAAAGGUACUUGUUUUCCAACGCGAAACUUGAGAUGCUGAAAACCCAAGUGGAAUCAGAAACAGGGGUGCAAAAUCCAACUCGAAUUGAAGUGCUGUCCGCACUAAUUUACAAGUGUGCUGUAACAGCAAACUCGAGCUCGUUUAGACCAUCCUCGUUGUCACUGCCGGUGAAUUUACGUCCGAUACUGAAUCCACCGCUAGAAACACGGACAGUAGGGAAUAUUAUUAGUUUUAUCAAAGUGGAAACAACGAGUGAGGAUGAAAUGACAAUCGGGAGAGUGGUUCGCGAGAUUAGGAAAGGUAAAGACGAAUUGAAGCAGGAAGGGGGUGUGAAGAAGGAGAAGCUAGUUUCGCUAUGGAGUGAGUGGAUACAUUCGAUUGACUUGUACAGAAGUAGCAGUGUUUGCAAUUACCCAUUGAAUAAUUUGGAUUUUGGAUGGGGAAAACCAAACAGGGUAGCAAUUCCUGUAUUUGGAGUUGCAAACACCUGCAUGUUUAUGGAUAAUCUAAGUGGAGAUGGAAUUGAGGUAAUUAUUGCAUUACCAGAAAAAGAUGCGACUCAAUUUGAGAAUAGCAAAGAGCUUCUCCACUUUGCUUCUCCAGUUACGAAUCUCUAGUUUUUUCUAUGCUUAUCAAUAAAGCGUUCGAUUAGUAGUUAGUCGAGUACCAAUAAUUGCAUUAUCAAUUUGAGAAUAAUAAAUUGCUUCUCCA
rnacentral:misc_RNA from 1 species